rnacentral:rRNA from 1 species
GUGAAAUAGAUCCUGAAACCGUGUGCCUACAAGUAGUUAGAGCCCGUUAAUGGGUGAUAGCGUGCCUUUUGUAGAAUGAACCGGCGAGUUACGAUUACGUGCGAGGUUAAGUUGAGCAGACGGAGCCGCAGCGAAAGCGAGUCUGAAUAGGGCGAAUGAGUACGUGGUCGUAGACCCGAAACCAGGUGAUCUACCCAUGUCCAGGGUGAAGGUGAGGUAACACUUACUGGAGGCCCGAACCCACGCACGUUGAAAAGUGCGGGGAUGAGGUGUGGGUAGCGGUGAAAUUCCAAACGAACUUGGAGAUAGCUGGUUCUCUCCGAAAUAGCUUUAGGGCUAGCCUCGUGAUUAAGAAUACUGGAGGUAGAGCACUGUUUGGACUAGGGGGGCAUCUCGCUUUACCGAAUUCAGACAAACUCCGAAUGCCAGAUAUUUAUACACGGGAGUCAGACUGCGAGUGAUAAGAUCCGUAGUCAAAAGGGAAACAGCCCAGACCACCAGCUAAGGUCCCAAAGUAACUGUUAAGUGGAAAAGGAUGUGGGAUUUCAUAGACAACUAGGAUGUUGGCUCAGAAGCAGCCAUACAUUCAAAGAGUGCGUAA